GACGAACGCUGCGGCGUGCCUAAUACAUGCAAGUAGAACGCUGAAGCUUGGUGCUUGCACCGAGCGGAUGAGUUGCGAACGGGUGAGUAACGCGUAGGUAACCUGCCUGGUAGCGGGGGAUAACUAUUGGAAACGAUAGCUAAUACCGCAUAAAAUGGAUUAUCGCAUGAUAAUUCAUUGAAAGGUGCAAAUGCAUCACUACCAGAUGGACCUGCGUUGUAUUAGCUAGUUGGUGGGGUAACGGCUCACCAAGGCGACGAUACAUAGCCGACCUGAGAGGGUGAUCGGCCACACUGGGACUGAGACACGGCCCAGACUCCUACGGGAGGCAGCAGUAGGGAAUCUUCGGCAAUGGACGGAAGUCUGACCGAGCAACGCCGCGUGAGUGAAGAAGGUUUUCGGAUCGUAAAGCUCUGUUGUAAGAGAAGAACGAGUGUAAGAGUGGAAAGUUCACACUGUGACCGGUAUCUUACCA
rnacentral:rRNA from 1 species